UCCCUAACCCGCUCUCGUCUCCCUUCCUAGGACGCAGCCGCCCACCAAAUCAAAUCCCGUCGCCGGGCUCGUCUGCCUCGCCGUGGCCGAUGAAUGCGUCGGCUGCGGCCACGCCCCCUCUCCAAACGGCGGCGAUGAUGGAGGGAGCAGCUCACGCUGGCCAGGCUCCCGACCGAACGCGUCGGGUCAUCUCUCCUCGGGGCCAACCCCUCCUAUUCAUCGCAUCUCUCCCUGACUCCGUCUCCUCCACGAGAUGUAGCACCACCCCACGCCAUGGACGCCCUUGCCGGCUGCAUCUCUCCAUGCGCCGCCACUCCUAUGACACCGCCGCCCGGCAGUCUCCACCAGCACCACGACGGGCGUGGCCUCUGCACGCGCCGUCACCUCCCCUCCAGAUCCGGCCGUCGUCGAGGGCAUAUCCAUCCAGCAGUGCGCCGUCACCUCCCCUCCAGAUCCAGCCGUCGUCAAGGGCUUAUCCAUCCAGCAGCGUGUCGUCAUCCCAAUCAUCACCAUCCACGGUGUCAUCGCCCAGGCCCAGUCAGGGGCCGGCAAGACCUCCAUGAUCUCCCUCUUCGUCUGCCAGGUCAUUGAGACCAACGUCCACGAGUGAUUUCCGCAUAGCUUUUGUGUAUGACGGCUGGAGGACCAACUCAGACCUCGCUUGCCCCAGGGUCAGGAGGUCCAAGGCGCCACAACCAACUACCCCUGCAUCCAUAUGCUGGCAAUUUACUUUGAUUGUUAGUCGUUGACCAUGAGCAAGAAUCUGUCAAUUAAUUUGAUGCUUCAGUUAACUUUUCAGUGUGGUAAUCUACAGCAAUCAAGUUAACAAAUCUGAAGCAUUUUAGCAAGGCAACGGUGCAAGUGCUCUUUUGGUGGAAGAUGAAGCUUUUGUUGGGCUUGUGAUGUUUUUCUGAAGAAGACUGACGAUGAACUCAAAAGACAGAUAACAUGCGGUUGCUACUACGGGAAUACCUGAUGUUGCUUCAUAUUAGUUAUAUCUUCCAAUAUUUACAGAAACUUCCGAAACUGGCACCAGGUCAGGACAUGCUGAUGAUAACCUUCCAGUUUUGCUAAAUCAUAGUUACUUGAGUAAUCUCUACUCCUAAAGUGUUCUUCGAAGGUGCUCAUCAAAUCUGUUGAUACACAACACCACAGUUAUUGAUGGUUUACACUGGAUAGUUUCCAGACCUUUAUCGCAAGAUGGACGAACUUGGCAUCUCAGCCAGUACUCUGCCUCAUCAACAGUUUGAUGUCCCUUUGCAUGAAGUUAGGCCAGCAUCAGAAUAUCCGUAGCCUUUUUUAGGAGAUGAAGGUGAAGAAUAUUAAGCCGGAUAACCUCACAUGUUUCCUUCUAAUGAGCAGCCGUGCGUCAUUGAACAAGAUAGAUGUUGUUGGAGAAGUUUUAGAAGAAAUGCAAGAAAAUGGUGUAGUUCUAGGGUGGUAUGCAUAUAGCAUGGUUUCUAUCUACCUGAGUGCUAGUUUGGUUUUAAAAAACAAUCCGCUCUCAAGAAAUCGAGGGCCUUGAUUUUAGAAGGUAACAUAAAUAUCUAGAUUGAUCGUUCAUGGUCCUGGGGCUCCUUGUUACAGUUCAAGCAAGAGUUUAGUCCAUAAUACUCAAUUUCAUCCUGAAGUGCAUGCCCCCUGACCCGUGGGACGACGGCACGGAGGCAAUCGCAUAACCCAGCGGCAGGGCGUGGCGGCGUUGUGGCCAGUGAGGAGCGCCGUUAGGGCGUGCCCUGAAUCGAGAGGAACAAGUAUGUUCACUUUCUGUUUGCUUUGUGUUUGCUUUCUGUAGUCUCAAAGCAGAGCAAUGGUUCACUGCAAAUUUUAUCAGAAUGUGCAACAAAAGCACGUUGAGAAGUUCCUGUGAGCCCUAAUUAUUUCUUGAGAAAGCAAACUUAUUGAUCCUUGCUCUAUUUUUUGUGUACUAAGAUUGUUCGUUUGUACCCAGGAUGUGUACGUGAUGUGCCCUGCCGCUGUGUGUGCUUCCUGCUAAUGUGUGUGCUUCCUGACGCAGUUGAGCAUGCGCGUGUGUGUUCGCUGUCGCUGUUUAUUAACAUUGUCAUGCUCUCCUUACUUUUUGCUUAACAAUUCAUGAUCAAUACUGAACAUUAUUUUUUGAAUAGAUGCCACUUGAACUUAGUUUUAGCUCUCAUGUUGUUCAAUGAAUCAUCAAGUAAUGUUUUGCAUGGAUUUUAUAACUGACACAAUGUUUCUGAUUUAAUGAGAGCCAACCAUGCGUUCCUGGCUUCCCCGGCGAUGCCAACAUGGCAGGGCAGGACCCAGUGGCCAUCUUCGGCGCCUUCAUGGACUUCGUCAGCGCUGACCUCUGCUUCAUCAUCUACGGCCAUGACCCCUUUGCCGUCGGCAUCAUCUGGCACCUUGGAGUGCAAAUUAAAUGUGUUCAUGGAGUGGGGUGUAAUUGUGAUUUGUGCAAUGGGUUUAGAGUGGAAGGGGCUGUCAUUCUUGUUUAGCAGGGGCUGCAAGUUCUAUCUCUAUAAGCCUGACUUGCAGCGGCAACAACAGAUUCAGAUGUGGUAAGCUCAUUCAUUCAUUCUCUCAGGAGAAGAGGACCAAAUUGAUUCAAAUUUUGUGUUCUGAUCUUAAUGUUGCGAGGUUUGCGAUCACAUGUAUGGUCGGGACUGCGUGGGUCCGGCGACCAAUUGCUUGCAUCUCUUGCUGUAUGGUGAUGAUGACCGGCUCUUGUUAAAUCCAAUACGACUGCACUUCUUCGCUUCAGGAAGAAGGUAUCCCCCCUAUACGAAGAUUUCUAGCUUGCCUAUGUGUUGAUAAGUGCAUUCGGCCAAACAAUUUGUGGACCAAAUAAACUUGUUGCAGAUACAGAAGAACAAGGCUGCACACAAGGAGUUGCCUGAAUUGCAGUGGCAGCGGUGUUGCAAUAUGAAUCAAGCUUGUGAAGAAAAAUUUCGUUACUUUAAUGACACACACUUGCAGUAAGUCAUUCAGAGAUAUAUUCAGUACAUGCUAGGUUGCCAAGCUCAGAGCCACCUGUUGUCUCCAUAAAUUCGCUGAAAGCAAAAAUCAUUUGCCCAUAGUCAUGUGAAACCUUCUAGAAUUCUUUUUAGUAUUUUGCAUUGCUUGUGCAUUUCUUUUUUUUAUCACUUCUAAUAACCUCAUUGAUUCAUUUUUCCUAUCGUCAUGUCAGUCCUUGCUCUAAAUUUUUUUUUAAUAUGUUGCACUUCUUGUGCAUUUCCAUUUUUAUCACUUCUAAUAAUCUCAUUGACUGUUUACAUCUCACCAUGUUUACCAAGAACACGAGUGAUAAUUUUGUUUUAUAAUAAUACAAUAGUGACAAUUUUAUUUUAUUUUAUUUUCUGACAUAGUUCUCAAUUAGGCUUACAAAUAUUUUACAUUGGCAGUAGUUCUGCCAUCAAGCUUAUGUGUAAUGUAUUCCUUAGAAUGGUGUUUCAGCCAUUUCUAUGUAGGUGGCAUGUGUGAUGGCACGUAUUUCAGCCAUAUCGACUUAGGUGGCAUGUGUGCUGGCGCAAGAAAAGGAAGGCCCUGAACUGAAAGGAGCAACAUAUAUUAAUGAAAUGCCCUGAAUUGAGAGAGAGAGAGAGAGAGUUCAAUUUAAUUUGUCUGGUUUAAAUAUUUAUGAGUAAUUUAAUUUGUUUGACCUUGAGUGUUGACUUGCUUUUCAGUUGUCAACAAUGUCCGUUUUGCUGAAUGUACUUGCUUAUCCUUCUACUGGACUACCAUUGGUUCACUGUGUACAUACACUUUCCAAUUCUGUCUGUUUACUAUCUUUUGUUAUUAUUUGUCUUGAUAACUUGAUGCUUUCUUCCUUGGUUGUUUAAUCUUAACAGUUCCACAUCCCACAUCGAACCUUCCAAACUCAUCCAAGUGACCAUUUGCAACAUCCUUUUCCGGACAAUCUGGAUUAGUUCAAGGUUUUCAUCACUCUGGUCUGCACAACAUUCAUGGAAAUUAUAGUCUUCCAAAAUAUUCCUGGAUCACUUGCAAAAAGGAAUGUUGUGAAGAGUAGCGUUCCAUCAUCUGGGGUCCAACAACCCAGAGGGAGCAUUUCUGGGAGAUUUGCUGCAAACAGCCUUCCUGUUGUCAUUCUCUGGUUCGAAUGCCCACCUUUGUGGAGAUUCCUCAUGCACAUUUAGCUGUUAGUGAUAGAGUAAUGAAUGUUGGUGGAGGUCAAGCAUUUAGAAGUGGAAUGAAUAUGGGUGGUACCAUUCAAGGUUUAUCCUCAAACUUGGGCACCAGUGGUAAUCGAAAUUAUGUUCCUGGAAACCCAGCUUUGGGUCCACGUAUUACAAACAUUGUGCGCAGAAGUAACAUUGGAAUAAAUAUAAGCUCUGGUGGGUUGUCGGUGCCGAUUAUCUCAUCACACAUCGAUUUUAGGGUCAAUGCUGCAAGUGGAAGACUAAAUGUGCAAGGAUCCAACAGGAUGAUGAAUGGCCUUAUUUUGCAAGGUAUGCCUGAUGGAGCGAUUGGGUUGAUGCUGAUGCUGAUAUACUUCCCUAAGUUGCUCCAAUCGGGAAUGCAGAUAUACUUCCGUGAGUUGCUCCCCAAAACCAAUCCCUUGCUCUUCUUUGCACCAAUGGUACAAGAGAUGCGAGCCAUCCUUUUUACUGGAUGUUCUCUUGAUCGUUUCUUCCUAUGGAUUUUGUGGUUGCCAGAUGUUUUCUCGUUGUGGAUUGGUAAAAAGACUAACUCUUAAUCAGGGCGCACGAUUUUGAUGAAGGUUGUAAAACAUUUUCAUUAGGCAUCAAUUUUCUUGCUGGUGCUUGUCUGGCUGUAAAAUCUGCUCAAUAUGUAUAUUUUCCUUUCGUCGUUUUCCGAUAUAUUACUGAACCUUUUGGAAUAUCUCUGUAUAUAAAAAAAUGUGUUCUGUCUGCCGAUUGAAAUGGACCUAAAUAUGAAUA